GUGCCAGCAGCCGCGGUAAUACGUAGGCAGCGAGCGUUGUUCGGAGUUACUGGGCGUAAAGAGUGUGUAGGCGGUUCGCCAAGUUCGGUGUGAAAUCUCCCGGCUUAACUGGGAGGGUGCGCCGAAUACUGGCGGGCUUGAGUGCGGGAGAGGAAAGCGGAAUUCCUGGUGUAGCGGUGAAAUGCGUAGAUAUCAGGAGGAACACCUGCGGUGUAGACAGCUUUCUGGACCGCGACUGACGCUGAGACACGAAAGCGUGGGGAGCAAACAGGAUUAGAAACCCUUGUAGUCC
rnacentral:rRNA from 1 species